UCAUACCCAAAACAAAAAAAUGGGUUUUUCUAAUGGUAACCGGGUACCCAAUUCGGGGUCAGACCCAGUAGCCGAAAGGGUGCCGGUGCUGCUUUCGGAGCUCCGGUCAACUUUCUUAGGAACAGAAUUCGAAAAAGUAGCGAAAAAGUUCAUAGAGCGAGAAGAAGAAAUGAAUGAACAUCUUAUUGAGCUGGGAAAUAAUGUUGAACAACUUUUAAAGGAUAAGAAUUUAUUGUUUCUUGAAAAUGAGAAAUUGAAAGAUGAUUUGAUGGAAAAACAAGCAAAGAUUGAUGCACUUAAUGCUGCUAAUUUGGGCUACAAAAAUGAAGCUAAAGUUUUGGGUUCUGAAAAAGUUAGGGUUUUAGAAAAAGAGAAUGAUGAGUUGAAGAAGAAAAUUAGGGUUGAUAGAGAGAGGUUUAUGGAUUUAAAUAAAAGGGUUUUGGUGUUGGAAGAUAGUGCUAAGGAAAUUGGGGGUGUUGGUUUAGUCAGAUGUUCUAAACUCAAAGAUUGUGAUACUCCUGCUGCUGCCGCCGCCGCCGCCUCUGAAAGCUGUGAACUGCUAUUGUCCAAUGAACACGGGGGUUCAAACAAAAGAACAGAACCCAAGGUUCAAAAGGUAAUUUACAUUGAUGAUGCCGAUGAAGAUGAGGACGAUGAUGAUCAGUUCAUAUCCACAUUGAAAAGAAAAGGGGUUUCAAACAAGAUUGGAUAUAGCAGUGAUGAAAAUAAUUUGGAUGGUAUCUCUAUGUUUAAAUCAAGACGGGUCUCGACGGAAAUUGAUAGAGAGACUGUCAUUUCUGCUGAAACUCGGAACAAGAAGAAUCUAGAUGAUUUGCACCAUCAAGAUAUGACAUCUUAUCCAGUUUCUACGCCUAAAUCAUCAGAAAUCAAGCCAAAAAGUCUGAUGCCUUCAUUUGAUGUCUCUGAUUCCCGAUCAAGCCAAGAUAUUAAGAAAAUUGAUGAGACAUACAACAUUGUUAUCUCUAAACUGAAGAAAGAAAAUGUGAGAUGGCCAUCUGAGGCUGACAUGCUUGAAGAGUUUAUUAAUGACGAUGAGCUUUGUUUGAAUGGUAUAUGUGCUUUACAUAGACAGAAAUUCCGUGCCAAGGCAUUUGAUGUCGUAAGACUGUCCAAUCUUGCAAGAAUGCUUAUUGAUGGUGAUCCACAACAGAGGCUUAAGAAAAAACCUUCCGACUUGAAACAGUUUGAUCUUGAUCAUUGUCGAAGGUUUGCCAGGGAGGAUUACACAUCCGUACUCUUCAACAUAUACCAAAGGAAGCUGGACCCUUUCUUCCCUUCUCCAAGUAGCAAGGAAAACAUGUCAGAUGAUCAGAAACCAUGAAAUGUGUAUAACCCUCAGUUUCUGCGAAGUAAUAAGAUAUCAACAGAAUAGUUGUUUUUGGAAAUUGGAGUUAUUAAACUAGCUUAAGUUACCAUGCCGGUGAAUGGAUUGCUGGGAUCGUUUUGUAUGAAAGAAUGAGAAAUGACAGAUGUGAGGUGAAACUGUAGUAUUUCAUGGGUAUUGUUAUGAAGCUUGUUAGGGACAAAGGGAGCAGCUCAUGUUAACUACCACAUCGGGUAAUGGGUUGAACGAUUUUUGUUACAUAAUAGAUUAGUUUCUAAUUUGUGUUCAAAAUCGUUUAGGUCGACUUGUCAUUAGUAUGAUUGUGAAAAGUGUCUAUUGUUAAUGUAAUAACUGAUGCUUUGAUUGACUCUUGAA